AUGAUGUGCGGGUGCCCUCCGCCGUGCAGCCGGCCACCGCCGAGACCCAGGACAUCGCCGACCGGGUGAGGUCCCAGCUUGAAGAGAAAGAAAACAAGAAGUUCCCUGUAUUUAAGGCCGUGUCGUUCAAGAGCCAGGUGGUCGCGGGGACAAACUACUUCAUCAAGGUGCACGUUGGCGACGAAGACUUCGUACACCUGCGAGUGUUCAAAUCUCUCCCUCACGAAAACAAGCCUUUGACCUUGUCUAACUACCAGACCAACAAAGCCAAGCACGACGAGCUGAGCUAUUUCUGAUCCUGACUUUGGACAGGACCCUUCAGCCAGAAGACUGAUAAUUAAAGUGAUCCUCCGGGGACCAGAGCAUGCACUUGUGAUCCUAAAAUAAGCUUCAUCUCCGGGCUGUGCCCUCGGGGUGGAAGGGGCGGGAUUCAGCAGCUGCUCUUGCAUUUCUCUUCCUAAAUUUCAUUGUGUUGAUUUCUUUCCUUCCCAAUCAGUGAUCU